rnacentral:tRNA from 1 species
ACGGGCCAGGACGAGGCCGUCCUCGUCGCUCUUGGCGGGGAUGGUGCAGAAGGGGCAGCCGUCUUCAGCGUUGGGGCCGGUGGGCUUGUUC